GCCAGACUCUACUCACCAACGCAGGAUUCCCAAAGAGGAAGUUCUUUGGGAAUCUCCUGCUUUUAACCCCGUGUGUUCUCAGAGGCGUAUCCUGAUCCUCCGAUCCUCAGUGGCUACAUCACAUGCCAAUUUUGAAUUUGGCCACUGAUUGGCCCGACUUAGACUUUUCCAGAAACACAUUUCCGGGCCAAACCACGACACCUGUUUAAUAAGAAAUUAAAUAAAAAAUAUGGAAAAUUAUAUUAUAGCAAAUUGUUUUGCAUAUUUCCUCAAAGUUAUGUGUCCAAUGUGUAUAAAGCAAGAGGUAAUGGAAUAAUGGAGCAUGAAGCUCUACAUGAGCUAGCAGUGUGUCUGGGUGGCCAAGAAGUCCAAUGGCAUCUUGGCCAAUGGCAUCCUCUAUCAGGAAUACUGCAGCUGGUAGGACUAGGGAAGUGAUCACCCCCUGUACUCAGCACUGCUGGGGACACACCUGGAGUGCUGCAUUCAGUUCUGGGCCCCUCAAUUAAAAAAGGACAUUAAGGUGCUGGAGUGAGUCCAGAAAAAGGUUACAAGGUUUAUAACAGGUCUAGGAAAUGUCAUAUGAGCUGAUGGAGAUGGGUUCAUUGGUUUAGAGUAGAGGAAGCUCAGGAGGAACCUCAUUAUGCUCUACAAGUACCUGAAAGGAAGACAAAGUGAGGUGGGGGCCGGUCUCUACUGCUGUGUCUUUAGUGACAGGACCAGUGGAAAUGGUCUUUAGCUGAGAUAGGGGAGAUUCAGAGUAGACAUCAGAAAAAAAUGUCACUGUUACAGUGCUCAGGCAUUGGAAUAAGUUGCCCAGAGAGAGGGUGGAGCCACCAUCCCUGGAGAUGUUUAAGAGGUGUCUGGGUCUGGCACUGGGUCAUCUGGUUUAGUGGUUUAUGGUGAUACUGCUGGGAUUACAGUGGUUGUGCUGGAUGGAUGGUUGGACUUGAUGAUCUUGCAGGUCUCUUUCAACCUUAAUGAUGCUAUGAUUCCAUGAAAAACAUUUGCUCUUAUUCAUCAACAUUUUUUUAAAUCUGCUUCCAUUUUACAUUAGCAAGAGGAAGCUGUUUUAAUUAUUGGGCCAACUCUGUAUAAUCUGGGGUUUUUUUAUUUAAAAUCCUUUUUUCUCAUUAUGCUGCAAAUAGUAAAAUACCCUGAGUUUAAUAACAACUGUUUAUGUUCUUAAUAGUUUUCAUAGUUUUAAGUUUUUCAUUCUACAAAAUAAAAAUAUAAAACCUUCUAUUAUAUUCUAGAUUUAAUUUGACUCAGUGUGGCUGAAAGACUAGAACAUCAGUGAAAUAGAGAGCCUCACCCAUGGGAGACCGUCCUUCAUGAGCUUCUCCAGCACCAGCAAUUCCUAUGGGCUGAAUUUGUUUAUGAACUGCUUCAGCAUGAGCCCCCCACAGGGUCACAAGUCUUGCCAGCAAACCUGCUCCAUGGUGGGUUUCCUACAGGUUCACAGCCUCCUUUGGGAACGUCCUUCUGCUGUGGUGUGAGGUCCUCCAGGGGCUGCAGGAGGUUCUCUGCCUCACCGCACAUCCAUGGGCUGCAGGGCCACAGCUGCCACUCCAAGGUGUGUGCAUCGGGCUGGAGGGAAUUCUCUGCUCAGGCCCUGGGGAACUGCCUCCCUCUCCUUUCUCACUGGUCUUGGUCUCUGUAGUGUGGUUUCUCUCACAUAUUCGCUGUCUCCAGACACUCUGUCCCAGAGGCUCCACCACCACUACCACUGAUGGUCUCAGCCUUGAUCAAUAGAAGAUCUGUCUUGGAGUCAACUGGCAUUGGUCUGCUGUACAUAGGAGAAGCUUCCAGCAGCUUCUCACAAAAACCAACUUUCAUCUCACUCACUACCAAAACCUUGCCUUGGAAACCCAGCAUAUUAGUUAUAAAUUUCUUCAAUUUUUUCUAUAAAAGUAAUUUUUAACUGCUUCAUUAGAACUGUAUAAGAAUUAUUUUUAGGAAAUAUGACUAAUAGACUCAUUCAUCCUAGCUAGAAAUCUCCUGGAUAAUUUUCCUCUUUUUUAAAUUAGCAAAAUUCUGAUGAGAAUGUGUAGAGGGGUAAAAGGUGAUUUUCAUGGAUACUAAGAAUGUCUUGCUCUCUCAUUGGUGAUGAAUCAUAUCAUGAGGAAGACCUGAAGAAUUGCAAUUUAUAGCGAGUGGGAAAAGGAAAGAAAAGUUAAAAGCAGCAUGAAUUUAAACACAAGAAAUGUUAAACUCUAUAAAAAGAAAUACUCAUGUCUUAAAAGUGCAUGAAUAGCCAAAGGAAAAAAUUCAAGCUGUGUCAGAAUAUGCCCUGUAUUCUGUAUAUUCUUUGAGUGGUCAGACAUAGGAAAAGAAUAGAGAAAAAAGAGAGAGGGGGAAAAAAAGUGUUCUUUUUUGUUUGCUUGCAGCUGUAAUACAAGCAUAAUAAAAACUUAGUACUAGACAGCCUCAAAUGGAGUUCACCAACAUUAACAGAAACAAAUUUAAUUUAUUAUUGCAAAUGUCAUUUUAUUCUGUAUAUUUGUUUUGCAUGGCUUGGUUUUGGUAGUGGAGGGGGCUACAGGGGUGGCUUCUGUGAGAAGCUACUAGAAACUUCCAGCAAAGCCAGUCCCUGGUGACUCCAAAGAGGGACAUGUCACCGGCUGAGGUUAGGCCUGCUAGAAAUGGUAGUAAAACAUCUGUGAUAACAGAUUUAAGAAGAAAGAAAAAAAAAUGUUGCUGAGUUUUAAUCUCAGCCAGAGAAGAGUCACCGGCUGAGGUUAGGCCUGUUAGAAAUGGUAGUAAAACAUCUGUGAUAACAGAUUUAAGAAGAAAGAAAAAAAAAUGUUGCUGAGUUUUAAUCUCAGCCAGAGAAGAGUGGAGUGAGAACAUGUGACAAGGACAACUCUGCAGACACCAAGGUCAGUGGAGAAGGAGGGACAGGAGGUGCUCCAGGCACUGGAGCCGAGACUCCUCUGCAGGCUGUGGUGCAGCCACCGUGAAGCAGCUGUGCCCCUGCAGCCCAUGGGGAUCCACGGGGGAUGCAGAGAUCCACCCGCGGCCCGUGGGGGAGCCCCACUCCAGAGCAGGUGGAUGUCUGGAGGAGGCUGUGCACUCAUGGAGAGAGGGGUCCUGCUGCCUUGUUGGAACAGUCUAUCCUUGAAGGACUGCACCCCAGAGUGGCCCACACUGAGCUGUUUGAAGAGAACUGCUGCUUAUGAGAUGGACUCGCAUUGGAGAAGUUCACAGAGAACUGUCUCCUCUGGGAGGGACCCCUUGGUGCAGCAGGAGAAGGAUUCCUCUCCCUAAGCAGCAGGAGAAGCCUUGAGUGAUGAACUUGUCAUAAGCCCCAUUCCCUGCCUCCUUGGACUGCACUGGACUGGAUUGUAGGAGGUAGAGCUGGAAGGAGGGUGCAGUGGAAGAAAGGUGUUUUCAAGGUUUUAUUUUACUUCUUAUUAUCCUGCUCUGAUUUUGUUUAUGUAAUAUAUUCAUUUCAUAUUUCUAAGUUGAGUCUAUUUUGUUCUUGACAGUAUUUGAUGAGUGAUCUCUCCUGGUCCUUAUCUUAACCCAUUAACAUUAAAUUCACUAAGUUUUUUUCCUCUGCCCAGCUGCACAGGGGAGUGAAUGAGCAGCUUUCAUGGGUGCCUGGCAUUUGGUCAGUGUUAACUGACAGCACUUAGUUUUGCUAAUAUGCAACAAAUUGUUUCAAGUAGACCAUGAAAAUCAUGGAAAUUCAAAAGUGGGGUUUAUACCUACAUUCUGAAACAUUCCUUUAUGUUUACCAUUUUCCCAGUGGUUUUUAGUUUUCUUUAUUGUAGCGCUUCAAUAAGUCAAAGGAACUCUUUGGCUGAAUGAGUUUAUAGGUAAAUAGGAAGGAAAAAAGCCCCAAACAAUCUGGAAACAAUGUCAGUUCAGUGCUGGUAAUAAGAACAACCUGUUCUUGGCAAAGUUAAAAUCAUAUUUUUUUUCAUUGUUUAGAAUGAUUAAUCUAAGUUUUCUAAUACUUAGGAUAUCGGAAUUAUAUGGGCUGACCCCUUUUAUAGGGGUGAAUGCUUGCCAACACAAAACAAACUUUCAUUUUGACUCUUGAUAACUGUGUCUUAGUAUAUUUCUUCCAAAGCUGAAAAAUUUUUGACCAAAUUUAUCAAACCAGGUCAUUAUUUUGGGAGUGUUGCUAAGAUCAUAAGUGUGUCCAAAUCUACACAGGGAAUAAGAAACAAGCAAGGAGACAAGUGGAGCAAAACUACUUUAUGGAAUAGCAGUUCUGUACAAUAGACCAUAAGAUGCUUUUCUUCAUACCACACAGACUGGAGAAAUGGAGCACUAAUUCUCCUUUUAGUUUUUUGUUUGUUGCUUUAUUAGUUUGUUUCUCUGUAUUCUUGGGUUUUCUACCAAAAGAAGCUAGAACGGCAAAGGGACAGUGCACCCAAUUUCUUGAGAUAACCAAGAGGUGUCUGGGGAUCUGAAAUUGGCAUAAGCAUCUGCACAGACACUACCUUUUAGAUCUUGCAAUCCUUCCUCUCAAAUUUUUCAUUAUAGUAUCUCCCUUGAAAUUCACUCAAGAUGUCCUGGAAAGUCAGGUGUAGCAUGCAAUUUCAGAAGUAUAUCUAAUGCAAAUGGAAAAGCAAGCACAGGCAUAGCAGUAUUUCUUUAAUUAAUACAUGUUGUGGGAAAUGUCCCUGUAAUGGCAUUAUGGAGGUUACAGCAUGGAGAAGCAUGAUUGGAUUAAUGUGAGCACUAAUCCAAGAAUAUAGUCGGUAAGAGUUGUAUGGCCUGCAUAUCCUACUACAGCAUAUACAACCACCCAGGUGGCACAUGCCUUGUUGUAUAAAUUGUAAUUAAUAUUGUAAUGAAAGCUAAGGAAUGCCACAUUCCACAGGUGAGUUUGCUUUGUUAGAUGGAAAUCUCUGGAUAUGUGUGGUUUACAUGGGGUUUACAUCAUAUUCAGAUGGACCAAUUUAGAUAGAAAUAUUUUAUCCUUCAACUUCAAAACAUAUCCUCUGCUUAUAAGUAUCAAUUUACAGCUCAAGAUUCUUCUUGCUUGAUUGUCUGUUGCAAUAUAGGAGUAAAAUUGGCAUCUUUACUGGCAGGCUCUGAAAAAUGAAGUGAUUAUAGUCUUGACAGAGCAUUGUGGAAAAUGUUGAGCUUUCUGUUGUUGAUCUGAGAGAUUUUGUGCUCUGGGACUACCAAACCAGCAUGCUUUAAAACCAGUCACUUCGCUCCAAAAUGUCACUUCACUUCAUCUGACUACAUUAUAAAGAUAUCUCUAUUAAACUCAAAAUUAUAAUCUCAGAAGAAUUAUAAGAUACUAAACAGAAAUAUUUCAAUAACUUAGAUAUUUUACAAAAAUCAUUUACUUCUAAUCAUCUUGAAAAUAUUUUCAGAUACUUAUCUAUAAAAAAUAAAUUGUAAAAUUUUAAAACACAUUCUGUCAGUCAUUGUCAAUCAUAUAAUGUAGCUAGUGAUGAGAUUAUACAUUUAUAUGAGUGCAGGCUAGUGUUUCUUAUAAAGAGAGAAGUAAAUGAAUGAGGGAAGGAAGAUUAGAGAUAAUGUAUAUAAAGCCAUUGGAUAUUAUAUUAAUACAGGUUUUGAAAUCAAUAACUGUUGAAUUAUAAUAAGUUAUAAUAAAUUAUAAUGUUAGAUAAGUUAUAAUAAGAUAGAACUAAAAAAUACGAUUGACAGAUGUAUAAUAAUUGAAAAAAAGAUAUACCAUUCACUGAACAUAUAAAAGGUUGGAUUUUUUUUUUUGUUUUUCAUGUGACAUAUGUGACAGAUCUGUCAGAAAGAUUUUGGAUUUCUCAGCUGUCUUCUUCCCAUAUACAGAAUACAGGAAAAGUACAAUAGCCUGUUAGCCUGCCAGAUUACAUUUAUUUGCUGAAAAAGAAGAAAUGUAGAGUAACACUAGGUAUUAUGUCAUGUUAACUGGUUAGAUGUGCUUUAGAGAGUUAUUAGAUAUUUUGAUAAAAGAUCCUUAAGAUACGCUGAAUAUUCCAAGCAAAGUAUUUUCUGUUCUUUGUACCUAAACUGGUAACUUCUAGGACAAGAGAAAAUGGCCUCAAGUUGCACCAAGAGGAGGUUUAGAUUGGACAUUAGGAAAAAAUUCUUAUCUGAAAGGGUUGCCAAGCCUUAGAACUGGCUGCCAAGGGAAGUGGUUGAGUCACCAUCCCUGGCGGUGUAUAAAGACGUUCAGUGGUGGACUUGGCAAUGCUGGGUUAAGGAUUGGACUUGACAAUGUCAAAGGCCUUUUCCAAACUAAAUCAAUCAUGACUCAACGACCUCAUCUGGAAGUAUAACUUAUUUGCAUAAUAGCACUGAGGAUUUUAUUUUUCUAGAGCUCUCUUAGGAAGGUUGACAGAACCUGCUAUGCUAUAGAUCUGCCAGAGACAAAUAUUGUCAAGUCUAACAUGGCACUACAAUAAAAGACCAAGGUAGCCAUGGUCUCUGAAACCCAAGAAACCAAAAAACCCACAUUUUUUGGAUGUCUUCAGACAGUGAGUGUUACAACACCAUUAGAUUACUUAGUAGCUAUCAUUACAAUAAAAAAAAAAAAGAAAGAAAAAAAAAAAGUUGGGUCACAUCAGGUUACUGUCAUCAAUGAUCAUUGUAAUAAUACAUUUGAAUUACAUUGACCAUUAUUUUUUAAACAAAUCUCCUGCUUCAUGAAAUAGUCAUUUCCUGGAUGGAUCAAUACAGUAAAGACAGGGAAAUAAACACUGCUUUUUAUAUUAUCAUUGAUCAAAUGUUUAUUUUCUGAAUUUCAGUAGCAUACCAGCUGUUAAGGAUAAUUUAAACUGUUUCAUAAAUUUUUACUUUAUUCAGUUUUGCAUAAAAAAAUUAGUUCAAAUAUAUGUGACAAUUUAAAAUCCCAAAGUUGCAUUGGAUUUUGCUUGAAUUGUCACUCCUUGGAGCCACCAGUCUCAGAUGUUACCAUCCAGAGUCCCCCAUCUUCCCUCUCUAUUCAUCUAUAUGUAUCUUCCCCAAUUUCACACACUUCUUCCACCUCCAGGAUCUUUUCUCCAACCAGUACCUUCAAUACUUUUUUUCCAGGGCCACUUCUUUUUGGUGAACACUGCUCUUAGGCUUUUGUCCCUGGCUUUUCCAAUCUAUCCAGGCACAAUGUAUGAUCAGUUUCCCAAGUGGUGUUUCUGAUUCAUUAUUUGGAGGAUUCAGGAAAAGAUACUUGAUUUGUCAUUAUUUAUAUAUAUUUUUCUAAACUCAGACUUUGUGAAUCUUAAACUGGGAAAGGAGAGCAGUCCUGCACCUAGGGAAAAGCACCCCUAUACACCAACAUAUGCUGGGUGACAGUUGCAUGGAACGCAAAUUGUCAGAAAAAAACCCUCAAAAUCCCAGUGAACACCAAAGUGAACGUGAGCAAGCAAAGUACCCUUGCAGCAAAGAAGAUUCAUGGGAUCCUGGUCUCCAUUAGGAAAAGUGCUGGCACUGGGUUCAAUGAGGUGAUCCUUUCCUGCUUCUCAGCACAGUGAGGUCACACCUGGCAUACUGUGUCCAGUUCUUGGCUCCUCAGUACAAGAGAGGCCCAUAAGAGAGAGUCCAACCACUAAGAUGACUAAAGUACUGCAGCAGGUCUCAAAUGAUGAAAGAUUGAGAAAGCUGGGACUGUUCAGCCUGGAGGAGGCUUGGAGGGAGGACCUUAUAAAUAUUUGGAGGCAGGAUGCAUAAAGGUGGAGCCAGGCUCUUUUCAGUGGUGUUCAGUGACAACAAACGACAUAAACAGAAACACAGGAGGUUCCCUCUGAAUAUCACAGAAUACAGUGACAGUGAGUGAUCUCUGACAUGCAUAAACUGGGUGUGUUGCAGAGUUUCCCUCCUCUGAGGUAUUCAAAAGCCAUCUGGACAUGAUCCUGGACAAUCAACUCUACUUAGUCUCACUUCAGAAGAGGAGUUGGACAGGAUGACCUUCAGAUGUCCCUUCAAGCAUCACUAUUUUGUGACUCUAUGAUUCUGUGAUUUUACAUAAUAACUCUGUCUAAAGGUUAAUCUAUUUUAUUUUGAAAAAGAAAAGUAAUGUUAUUGCAUUUUCUAUCUAAAAGAAAAGAAAAGGAUAAUAAAAAUACUGCAGAAAACAAUUCUGGAGCCUUCCAGACACAAAUAGCAAGGACUUUUUUUUAUGUUUACUCAUUCUUGCAAAGUUUUUGAAAUAUUUUCAAAUCAAUAUUUUAAAAUAGAAGCCACUGAGAUUAAAGGAGGAUAUUUUAGUUUCCCUAUUGUCCAAACUUGUUUCCAGAACCUCAGAAUUUAUUUUUAAAUUUUGGAAAGAGCUAUGUAGCACUGAAGAAAGAGACUUGAGAAUAUUAGGACUGUUUAAAUUAAUACAUCUGAUUAAAUUAAAGGGUGAAAGCAUUUCAAAAAUUUACCAUUCAUGUUGGAAGGAAAGCAAACAAAUCAAAGUCUCGUAUCUAAAGCCUUGGAGAGAGCAAACUGAAGGAUCUACUCUGAAGUAUAUUUCAUUAUUGUCAGACACUGUAAGAAAUAGGAAAUGAGCAAGACUAUGCCUUCAGCUCACCUUAGCUGGUCAGCUGAAGGUGGUGAGAAAAUAUCAAUUCCCUGAAGAGCAAAUAUCUAACCAGAAGUUAGUUUAUGGUAAACAAGAGAAAGACAUAAUAGGGUGCCAAAGCUUCUAAGGGUUAAGGCAGCCAUAAGAUGUGUGAAGAUCAAGGUUUUGGCAGUUUUCACUCUGUGGAACUCCCCAUCCUCUGGUAAGUACCUGAAAUACUUAACUACUUGUAGUUUGCUAUAUUUGGAAAAUUUUAUAGUGAAGCAAUUCAUAUGACAGAUGCAAAAAUAAACAUUUUAAGAACUAAAAAAAAAUGUGGUGGCAUUCCAAUAUCUGUUGAUAAAUAGUAAAAUGUAGGAUGUAUGUGUAUGUAUGACAAUGGAUUUCCCUACACAUUUCUUCAGCUUCUCCUCUUAUCAGAAAAACAAUUGUGUGAAUUCCACCACGAGGAUUUGAAAAAUAUUUUAGAAAAUAAAUUCAAAAUUAUUAUAAUACAUAUAUGUGUGUGUGUGUGUACAUAAAAUUAUUGUAAAUUACAGUCCAUGCUAAUCACACCAAAUAGAAACUAUGAAGCUGGAUUUCAUUUUUCCAUACAUAUACACACAUAUGUUCAUAUAUAUAUAUAUGCACAUGGAAGAUGAUGUUGUGUCUAAGUGUAAAUCCUUAAAAUGUUUCAUUUUAGUAGGGCUAAAUAAUCUGCUGAAAAGCAGUUUCAACUCAUUUUUUUAGUAGAGUUCUAAUUCAUUAUCUUAUUACUGACUUUCAAGAAUGAGUUCAGUUGUUAAAGCAUGAUUGAAACAUAAGGAGAAAUGAUAUAUUUUGAAUGAAUACAUUGUUCAGGAUGUUUAUGUCCUUUCAAAGUUAAUGAAUGAAAAUCAAUCCAGGUUCAAUGCUGAGCAGCUAUUUUCCACCCACAACUGAGCAGCAAAUACUUUAGUCGGUAAUGAUACGAAAACCAAUAACAUUUUUAAGUGUUAAAUCAGACAAGCAGAUUUUGAAUCUUGCCACAAAGCUAGAGAGUGAUCUUUUACAAUUAAAAGAAAAAAACUUCUUUCCAGGCUGAGAAACCUCAAGAGUCAAGGAAAAAGACAUGGGUUCAGGACUAAAAGAUCAAGAGAAUGGAUGCUGACAGUUUUAACAGCUGGGUUGGAUUUCUCAAUUGGAUAUUACAGCCCCAACUUAUAUGAAACUUGCUGGCAUUUUUUUAGUCUGUUUUUCUUGCAAGACUAAAUUGACUCUUCAAUUUAAAAGUAUAAAUUAAAAAUGCAUAAUAAUAUUAAGUAUGAGCUAUUCUGUUGUCCACUUAUGUGGAACAAGCACAAAUGUUUAACUUCUUUGAAUAGGUCAUGAAAUUAGAGCUGGUUAAAAAAUAUUGACAGAAACGCAAUAUUUCAGGGAAAUACUAAAGCAUAUCCAUAUUUCAUAUGGAAAUCAAGAAACCAAAUCAUUAAGUUUCCUGUCUUCCAAAUAAAUUUAGAGUGAUUUUCCCAGGCUCCUACAACUCAUUUUACACAUUUCUGCUGCUCCCCAUCUGCUGAGUUGUUUGUCUCUCC